AGGGACAGUUGCUGUGGUCCCCAGUGGGGUCUGUAGAGCCUCUCCACCCGCUGGUCACCUUUUCUUUCCCAUCUGCAGCAGGGGGCAGGAUUUGGGAAGAUGCCACCAUCCCGCAGCAGCAGCAAGAGGGCUUUGUGGUCCCUACAGCUGCAGGAGGCAAUGUCUUCAAUACACAGGGGAAAAAAAAAUGGGUAUCUGUGAAAUGUCCAAGACUUAAAUACCAGGGCACUGAUCUGAGAGACCCACACAAAGCACGCCUCUCUGGGUGAUUUCUAAUUCUCCUGGCCCUGAUACGGCUGUAAACAGUGGCUUAAAAUUGGUCCCUCCUGGAACAAAUGAAAAGCAGAAGGGAAGGAAGGGCACUGUUAUCACUUCUUUCCCAUACACCUCCCUCCCUCAGACAAAGAAGUAUGCAGUUACAUGGACAAUUUAGGGGCAGCAGCCAAGCAGGAAUAACUCUAAAAUUCAUGUUUUAAUAACAACAACAGCAAUAAGCACACAACAGCAUUUAUAACCCUAGUUACAGGCCUGGGAUAUCAUAUCCAUAGCAACUGCAGCAAGUGCUGGAUGCCGUAUAUUUAGAGUUCCCGAGCACCUGCCUAAAAUAGCCGCCGAUAAAUUAUGCUGAUGUUUGUGCCUUUCAGAAAGCGUUCAAAAGACGGCCGCAAAACCGCGCCAAGCCUUCGCAAUGGGAAUCUCACUUUCGUACCAAACGUCCACAGACUCACGUUCGCCUCCCCUUUUGCAUCUCCGAACGUGACGAACGAGCCCAAGGAGCCACCUCAGCAGCGAGCGCGGCAGCGAGCGGCAAGAAUACCACUAACCUCCCACCUGGGAGCAGGAUCAGAGCUCCACCCAAUGCAAUGGGCAGAAAGGAUCGCCCCUGUCCCGUCCCAUGCUUGCUGCGCUGAGCACGGUGGGUUUCCACAUGGGAGCCCAACAGAGCAUCCUCCUGAGGUUGUUUUUAACCUCAGGUAUACAAUCAUUUAUUUAAAAUUGACUUCAAAAUAAACUUCUUGUUUCUCUGUGUCUUUACAGUUGAUGGAAGUGGAUAUAGGAAAAUUAAGAUUAUUUGUUCUAAUUUAACACAACACGUAAUAGAACCCAAAAUAAAGUCAAUAGUGGCUUAAA